AGUGAACGCUGGCGGUAGGCCUAACACAUGCAAGUCGAACGGCAGCACAGUAAGAGCUUGCUCUUACGGGUGGCGAGUGGCGGACGGGUGAGGAAUACAUCGGAAUCUACUUUUUCGUGGGGGAUAACGUAGGGAAACUUACGCUAAUACCGCAUACGACCUACGGGUGAAAGCAGGGGAUCUUCGGACCUUGCGCGAUUGAAUGAGCCGAUGUCGGAUUAGCUAGUUGGCGGGGUAAAGGCCCACCAAGGCGACGAUCCGUAGCUGGUCUGAGAGGAUGAUCAGCCACGCUGGAACUGAGACACGGUCCAGACUCCUACGGGAGGCAGCAGUGGGGAAUAUUGGACAAUGGGCGCAAGCCUGAUCCAGCCAUACCGCGUGGGUGAAGAAGGCCUUCGGGUUGUAAAUCCCUUUUGUUGGGAAAGAAAAGCAGCAGGUUAAUACCCCGCUGUUCUGACGGUACCCAAAGAAUAAGCACCGGCUAACUUCGUG
rnacentral:rRNA from 1 species